rnacentral:lncRNA from 1 species
CACAGAUGGGAUUUGGGAAUAGGUUUGGUUAUCCAAGGAGCAGUGCUGAGCUCCUUGCUAAUGGGAUAUGGGAUGCUGGUGAUUUCCAGGAAGUGACCUCACAAUGACUCAAGCUACCACAUACUGUUGAUUGUGAAAUGCCAGUUGAAGCAUAUGUCCUGCGAGCUUAGGGGUGCUACAAGUUGACCACUGCAGCAGUAAAGAUGACUCUGAAGAAUGGCAUGGGAUGGAUCCUUUCGAAUGCACUUGAGCAGCAGUCUCCAACCACAGGGCCACAGAGCUGGAGAUGGA